CGGGUGCACUGAUCCAGCCGGGCCUUUCCCUCUGUGGAACCCCAUGGCCUUCACUGGCUGUGGUGGGGAAACAGGACUUUUACUUUGAAAAAAUUAGAGUGCUCCAGGCAGGCCUAUGCUCGAAUACAUUAGCAUGGAAUAAUAGAAUAGGACGUGUGGUUCUAUUUUGUUGGUUUCUAGGACCGCCGUAAUGAUUAAUAGGGACAGUCGGGGGCAUCAGUAUUCAAUUGUCAGAGGUGAAAUUCUUGGAUCUAUUGAGGACUAACUACUGCGAAAGCAUUUGCCAAGGAUGUUUUCAUUGAUAAGGAACGAAAGUUAGGGGAUCGAAGACGAUCAGAUACCGUCGUAGUCCUAACUAUAAACUAUGCCGACUAGGGAUCGGACGAUGUUAUUCUUUGACGCGUUCGGCACCUUUCGAGAAAUCAAAGUGCUUGGGCUCCAGGGGGAGUAUGGUCGCAAGGCUGAAACUUAAAGAAAUUGACGGAAGGGCACCACCAGGGGUGGAACCUGCGGCUUAAUUUGACUCAACACGGGGAAACUCACCAGGUCCAGACACAGUGAGGAUUGACAGAUUGAGAGCUCUUUCUUGAUUCUGUGGGUGGUGGUGCAUGGCCGUUCUUAGUUGGUGGAGUGAUUUGUCUGCUUAAUUGCGAUAACGAACGAGACCUUAACCUGCUAAAUAGCCCGUACUGCUUUGGCAGUUCGCCGGCUUCUUAGAGGGACUAUCGG
rnacentral:rRNA from 1 species